rnacentral:lncRNA from 8 species
AUGAAGAAGGAGAGAGGGACCCCCCUCAAAAACAUCUGGCUAUUCUGCUGUAUCACAUUCAAAGGAGGAUCCACUGCUCUAAAUUCUAGUUUAAAUGGAUGUGCCAAUCAGCUGUGGAUAUGGAACGGGCCCAGGAGCAAAGCUGUAAUGUAUUCCCAGGGUGCAAUGGUUGUCGUAAAUACAAGCAUACAACCAUAUUGUUGAGCGGCGGAUCAUAUUUUACACUGUUAACACGCCAUCUGGUUCUCCCUAUAAGCAUUCAUUACACAUAAUGGAACACACUCUACAGGCAGGGUACUGCAGAGUACACCCUGUCACGCACAAUACGAACACACACACAGCACUAGAAGCUUUCAGAGUGUAAACAGGGGACAGGGUUCAAAUGAGGGUAAUGCAUAACAAAACACCAGAGAGAGAGAGAGAGAGCGAGCGAGUGAGCGAGCGAGAUAGAGAGAGGGGUGGGAGGGGGGGUAAAGCACUACCCCUUUACUUCUCUGCAGCUGAUGCUGUGCCACAGCUGUACAUGACAUUGUGACAUUCCUGAAAAAUACAAAGGAAAACGCUGCACAACGCUGUUCAUGUAUCCAGGUGAUUUUAUUGUUACAACAUUUCAACCCUUAAGUCAUUAGGCAUCCAUAUCCCAGAUGGGGAUAUGUCCUAUAUAUAGGGGCAGUGCUCAGUGACAUCACUUCCUGAAACAGGAGGUAAAAACAUAUAUCGGUUCACAAUAUUAACAUUCAAUAUAUAAAAAUAUAUAACCAUACAUGUGGAAAAGGUUUGAGUGGGAUAAUGCGGACUACAAGUAGCAGAAG